GGGGACGACACGGUAUCGACGUGGGCUACUAGACGCAGUGUGGCGAGCCGAGGAUGGUGGUUGGCCUCGUAAAUCACUCCACCAAGCCAUUAACUGGCAACAAAACUGUUUUGGACUUCGGUCCUCAAACCCUCGCUGCUUAAUCCCAGCGACAGCCCUCUGAAAGCACCGCCUUUAGCGUUCUGAGCUGCUGUAAUAAAUAAGGGCUAGCUCGAGUUCAAGAACUUACGGCUCGAGCGAAAUUAAGUAAGUUAUCGAGGGCGGAAAGUUUGUCUGUAGACGCGCUUCCCUUCAGAACAAAAUACAGACUACGCUCGUAGAGACCUGCUGAUAGGGUUUGCGGACGUGAGUUCGACUCUCACCGUCUCCACCA
rnacentral:tmRNA from 1 species